GACGAACGCUGGCGGCGCGCUUAACACAUGCAAGUCGAGCGAUGAAAUUUCGACAGAUCCCUUCGGGGUGAAGAUGAAAUGGAUUAGCGGCGGACGGGUGAGUAACACGUGAGUAACCUGCCUUAGACAUUGGGAUAGCCUCGGGAAACCGGGAUUAAUACCAAAUGAAAUCACAUAUGCACAUGCAUAAAUGAUCAAAGCUCCGGCGGUCUAAGAUGGACUCGCGUCCCAUUAGCUAGUUGGUGAGGUAACGGCCCACCAAGGCGACGAUGGGUAGCCGGCCUGAGAGGGUGAACGGCCACAUUGGAACUGAGAAACGGUCCAAACUCCUACGGGAGGCAGCAGUGGGGAAUAUUGCACAAUGGAGGGAACUCUGAUGCAGCGACGCCGCGUGAACGAAGAAGGCUUUCGAGUCGUAAAGUUCUUUUAUAUGGGAAGAUAAUGACGGUACCAUAAGAAAAAGCCCCGGCUAACUACGUGCCAGCAGCCGCGGUAAUACGUAGGGGGCUAGCGUUGUCCGGAAUCACUGGGCGUAAAGGGUUCGCAGGCGGAAAUGCAAGUCAGGUGUAAAAGGCAGUAGCUUAACUACUGUAAGCAUUUGAAACUGCAUAUCUUGAGAAGAGUAGAGGUAAGUGGAAUUUUUAGUGUAGCGGUGAAAUGCGUAGAUAUUAAAAAGAAUACCGGUGGCGAAGGCGACUUACUGGGCUCAUUCUGACGCUGAGGAACGAAAGCGUGGGUAGCAAACAGG
rnacentral:rRNA from 1 species